rnacentral:rRNA from 1 species
GAUGAACGCUGGCGGCGUGCCUAAUACAUGCCAGUCGAGCGAACAGAUCAGGAGCUUGCUCCUUUGACGUUAGCGGCGGACGGGUGAGUAACACGUGGGUAACCUACCUAUAAGACUGGAAUAACUCCGGGAAACCGGGGCUAAUGCCGGAUAACAUUUAGAACCGCAUGGUUCUAAAGUUAAAGAUGGUUUUGCUAUCACUUAUAGAUGGCCCCGCGCCGUAUUAGCUAGUUGGUAAGGUAACGGCUUACCAAGGCAACGAUAGAUAGCCGACCUGAGAGGGUGAUCGGCCACACGGGAACUGAGACACGGUCCAGACUCCGGCGGGAGGCAGCAGUAGGGAAUCUUCCGCAAUGGGGGAAAGCCUGACGGAGCAACGCCGCGUGAGUGAUGAAGGUCUUCGGAUCGUAAAACUCUGUUAUUAGGGAAGAACAAAUGUGUAAGUAACUGUGCACGUCUUGACGGUACCUAAUCAGAAAGCCACGGCUAACUACGUG